GCUGGGCUUUGUGGCACAUGUCUAUAAUCUCUGCUCAUGGGGAGAUUAAGGCUGGUGAAAUCACUUAUGCUUGACAAUUCUGAGCUGCAGUAGGGCUGAAGCAGAUUGGGUGUCCUCACUAAGUCUAGCACCAGUAUAGUUAGCCUUUGAGAACAGAGAGCCCCCAUGCUGCUUAGAGAGGGGUGAAAUGGCGCAGGUCAGAAAUGGAGUAGGUCACAACUUCCAUACUGAUCAGCAGUGGGGCUGUGCUAUGAGUGGCUGCUGCACUUCCAAUCUGUGAGAUCUUAA
rnacentral:SRP_RNA from 1 species